rnacentral:lncRNA from 1 species
GGGAAGGAAUAGAAGGUCAGGAAAUUUAAAUACUUUCUCCAAGCCACAGACCUGGGUCUUUCUACGUUGCCCUGCUUUCUGCCUCUGGAGUAGCUGGUUCUGCGAGCUUCUACUACCAUAACAGCUUGAACACUUGCUUAAAAUAGAAUGUGUGUUUCAUCUGUGUAGAUGAAUUCGCUGUGUUGACUAGGUAUCCCACAGUAGAACCCUUUAUCAGUAUUCAGGGCAAGCACAUUCAGGGUGUGCUUUGACCCAGCCACUGCCGGGUGCUGAAGAAACAAACACGGCCUGCUCCC